UCCCUGGCCAUUUAAUCAAUUGCCAAGGAGUUAUAACUUCUUGGUAAAACAUGGAGCAUUGUGGAAAAUGACAUACUAUGGAAGUGCUCCAAGAUUAGUGCAUCGGCCACAUUUUGCAGCAACAUCUGCUUUUAUAGCUCGGAUGAAAUUGUCCAAGUCAAGUAAGGAAACCCUUCACUUUCAGACAUUGAGAUAGUUGAGAAAAUCUGGGGGAAGCAAUGUCAUGGUCACAUCACUGUAUUUGGUGGCGGGACUACUUUGAAAGAUUUGAGAUGAUCGCCCCCUAGUCGAUCUGAUCUGGAAGCACAGGUUAUAGAAGAAAAGGAAAAAAAACCAGAUGCUUCAACAACGCUUAGAUGAGCAGGAACAACAACAAUAAAGGAUGUCUAAGUUGGAGUCUUAAGUGAAAGCUAUGCAAGAACUUUUUUUUAGGAAAUAACCUUCAUUGACUCCUCAAACUCGAGAACGUGUGCAACACUAGUGUCAGGUGUAGGCAUCUAAAAAUACCUAUAGGUAUCCACACACAGCUCGAGACAGAGAGAAGGUGAUCACUAGUGGAAAUUGGGGUUUC